rnacentral:rRNA from 1 species
UCGGGAAUUUUGGGCAAUGGGCGAAAGCCUGACGGAGCAACGCCGCGUGGGGGAAGAAGGCCUUCGGGUUGUAAACCCCUGUUGCGAGGGAAGAAGAUCUGACGGUACCUCGCGAGGAAGCCACGGCUAACUACGUGCCAGCAGCCGCGGUAAUACGUAGGGACCAAGCGUUGUUCGGAUUUACUGGGCGUAAAGGGCGCGUAGGCGGCAAUUCAAGUCAUCUGUGAAAUCUCCGGGCUUAACUCGGAACGGUCAGAUGAUACUGCUUUGCUAGAGUGCAGAAGGGGCAAUCGGAAUUCUUGGUGUAGCGGUGAAAUGCGUAGAUAUCAAGAGGAACACCUGAGGUGAAGACGGGUUGCUGGGCUGACACUGACGCUGAGGCGCGAAAGCCCGGGGAGCAAACGGGAUUAGAUACCCACGUAGUCCCUGAGCGGGCUGGCAAGGCGCAU